rnacentral:misc_RNA from 1 species
GUACCCUCAAGCUUUGCUUGGUGUUGGGCGUUUUGUCUUUUCUUUCCUUUUGGAAUUAGACUCGCCUUAAAGUAAUUGGCAGCCAGUGUUUUUUGGUAGUAAGCGCAGCACAUUUUGCGUCUGAGACUUCAAACAACGGCAUCCACAAAGCCUCUUUCUCAC